UCAGACGAUGCGUCAUGCAUAUCAAUAAGCGGAGGAAAAGAAACUAACAAGGAUUCCCCUAGUAACGGCGAGUGAAGCGGGAAGAGCUCAAAUUUGAAAUCUUAAAGGGUUUCCCUUUACGAAUUGUAGUUUAAAGAAGUGUUUUCUGUUGAGGUUUUGGUAAAAGUUCUUUGGAAUAGGACAUCAUAGAGGGUGAGAAUCCCGUAUUUGACCUUUACUUUCAACUUUGUGAUACACUUUCAAAGAGUCGGAUUGUUUGGGAAUGCAGUCCAAAAUGGGUGGUAAAUUUCAUCUAAAGCUAAGUAUUGGCGAGAGACCGAUAGCGAACAAGUACCGUGAGGGAAAGAUGAAAAGAACUUUGAAAAGAGAGUUAAACAGUACGUGAAAUUGUCAAAAGGGAAGCGUUUGACACCAGUGUUGUUUUUCUGAAAAUCAAUUAAAGAACUGUUUAUGCUAAGUUGUUUAGACUUUAUCAGCUAACUGUUUAGUUUUGAGCUUUUCUUUAAUGCACUUUUCAGUUAACAAGUCAACAUCAAUUUCUUUUGCUGUAAAAAAGCUUGAGGAAGGUGGCUUGAGAUUCGUCUUAAGUGUUUAUAGCCUCUUGCCUAUGCAGUCGGAGAGAUUGAGGUCUGCAGCGUAGAUCCUUCGGGGCUAAAUGCAUUUGUGCUAAGUUAUAGCAUUUUAUAGACAACUUGUUGACUAUGAUUUGUCUUGUAGCUUACUCGCUUAUGUUAUUUUACCUACGCUUAGGAUGUUGAGCGCAUGUCUCUCUCU
rnacentral:rRNA from 1 species